GAUACAUUCUAUUUUUAAACCUCAUCAAUUUCAUUAAGAAUAGGAUCACAAUUACGGUUAACACACACAUGUUCCAGAAACACUUCCACGUGCUUUACCUGUAGUAACUGUUUUAAAUUCUCAGGUGAGGAAUUUGACCACCCUCAUUUAACUAGCAAGUGGCAGAGUCAGAACUUGAGCAAAACAUUUUGGCUCUGCAGUCUGUGCUUUGAACCUUAAGGCUGUACUGACCAGGUUGCCUUAUCACACUCUUCUGCAACACCAUUUUUAGGUACUACUCAGCAUUCCAUUGCUUGGAUAAAUAAUAAUUACUUCAUAAAUCUCCUAUGAGUGGACAUCUAGCCCAUUGGUAUUUUCUCCCUACUAAGCAAUGUUAAGCUCUACCACCCUGAAAGCGCCCGAUCCCAUCCAAGCAAUGUUGAGCUGAAUCUAAUUAGAGCCCAUUUUUGUGCCAUCUGAUGAUCUCCCUAAAUUAAGGAUGUGCAUUUUUACCAUGGCUACUUAGAGGUGUUAUGUAGCACUCCCCACCCUCCUGCAUUUAGGGCAGGCCUCAAACAAGGCUGCAGCUCCAUCUUGCUUUGACAUUUCUCCACUGGCACCCACCAAGGUGUUACAUUUCCUGUCUUGAGGUUUCACAUCCUGCCCCUUAAACCACCCACAGUGCUCCACCCUUUGGGGUUUCGUAGGAAACAUCUCACACAAACACUCACUGAGCCAUGUGUCUCAGGCCAACAAACUUCUAAUCUAGCAGUGGGGGAAUACAGGGGUAACAAAUUACGUCAAUUACAAGUUGAUAUCACUAACUGAUGCUGGCUGGAAGCAUUUCUCAGCUUUCCUGGCACUGCCACUUUUAUCUCCUUUCAAUGACUCUCCAUUUCCUGACCUUACACUGUCCUUUUUCUUAGGUUGAACCACAAGGACCUGCUGACCUACAAAACCACUUGACCUACAAAAAUGGAAAUUUCACCUGGUUCCAUCUAACAAGGCUGAGAUGUUUAUUUCCCCAGUGGAGAACAUGGCAACAAUUUGUCAUGCUGGGAAGCUAUUCAAACAUCUGUUAAACCUUUCCUAUAUUGAGGGACAUGUCCACCUUUUAAAUCCUGGUUUCCAGAGCAUUAUGCCAGAAACUCACUUUCCCAGACUUCCUUGAGACUAAAAUAAAUGAAUGUGCCCCUGUUUCCUCCAGUCAGAUGCAAGAUUUUUGAUGCAGCGGAGAACAACAGGAAGAGCUAUUCUGCCUUUGAAGAGAGGUGGGGGCUGAAAUGGGGAGAAAAAUCUAGGGUGCUUUAAAGCUCUAUUUCCUCACCAGGAUGGCUGAUUAUAUGAAAGCUUGCUAUGUAAUAAUUCUUUUAGAUUUUGUGCAUUUUUUGCAUGGGUGCUAUUCUUUCUUUCUUUCUUUCUUUUUGUCUUUUUAUAUUUUUAGAGCCGCACCAGCAGCACAUGGAGAUUCCCAGGCUAGGGGUCUAAUCGGAGCUAUAUCCUCCGGACUAUACCAUAGCUCACAGCAAUGCCGGAUCCUUAACCCACUGAGUGAGGCCAGGGAUUGAACCCACAACCUCAUGGUUCCUAGUCAGAUUCGUUUCUGCUACACCAUGAUGGGAACUCCCUGCAUGGGUGCUAUUCUUUUUUUAAAAAAAAUUUUAUUAUAGUGGAUUUACAAUGUUGUGUCAAUUUCUGCUGUACAGCAAAGUAACCCAAUUACACAUAUAUACAUAUACAUUCUUAUUUUCACAUUAUCAUCCACCAUGUUCUAUCACAAGUGAUCAGAUAUACUUCCUUGGGCUAUACAGCAGAAUCUCAUUGCUUAUCCAUUCCAAAUGCAACCCAUGUUCAUUGCAGUACUAUUCACAAUAGCCAAGAUGUGGAAACAACCGAAAUGUCCAUUGACAUGAAAAAAUUAAGAAGAUGUGGUCCAUGUAUACAAUGGAAUACUACUCAGCCAUAAAAAAGAAUGAAAUAACAGCAUUUGCAACAACAUGGUUGCAACUAGAGAUUCUCAUACUAAGUGAAAGAAGUCAGAAAGAGAAGGACAAAUAUCAUAGGAUAUCACUUUUAUGUGGAAUCUAAAAUAUGGCACAAACGAACCUAUCUACAAAGGAGAAACAGACUCACAGACACAGAGAACAGACUUGUGGUUGCCAAGGGGGAGGGGGAUGGGGAGGAAGUGGAAUGGACUGGGGGUUUGGGGUUAAAAAAUGCAAACUGUUACAUUUAGAAUGGAUAAGCUAUGAGGUCCUGCUGUGUAGCACAGGGAACUAUAUCCAAUCACUUGUGAUAGAACAUGAUGAAAGGUAAUAUGAGAACAAGAAUGUAGGAGUUCCUGUUGUGGCACAGUGGAAAUGAAUCCAACUAGUAUCCAUAAAGAUGAGGAUCAGUGGGUCAGGGAUCUGGUGUUGCCAUGAGCUAUGGUGCAGGUCUCAGACACAGCUCGGAUCCUGAGUUGCUGUGGCUGUAGCAUAGGACUAUAGCUGUAGCUUUGAUUUGACCCCUAGCCUGGGAAUUUCCAUAUGCCAAAGGUGUGGCCCUAAAAAGCAAAAAUAAUAAUAACAAUGUGUGUGUGUGUUUUAUAUAUAUAUAUAUAUAUAUGACUUGGUCAUUAUGCUACACAGCAGAAAUUAGCACAGCACUGUAAAUCAACUACACUUUAACCAAAAAAAUUUUUAAAAGACUGGUUGGGACCCCUGACACUCCAACCUGGCAUGCACAGGUAUUCACUCAGUGACCUUUUGAAAUGACAAGGCCAAAAACUGCAUCCUCAGAUUGUGCUAAAUGCCUCCAUUUUUUAACAUAUGGAGGCCUGUAGUGUAGUUACAUGUGCGUGGAACACAAGUACCAUAGCUUUUCUCAAUUACCUUUUCUCACACUCCCUGUGCCUCAGACUGUCCUGCUUUCUUUUUUCCCCAGGCCCUGGCCUCCAGGGAGGCAGAUGUGAGAUUUGUUCUCCCAUCUCCAUGGUUGGCUGCCUGGUGAAUAAAUGCUUUCUUUGCUGCAAACCCUGGUGGCUCAGAGCUUUGGCCUUCAAAACUUAGUUUGCUAACACUCUAAUCGACUAUUUUUACCUCCUCUGAAAAUCAUAAAUUUUCCUACAUUAAUCCCCACUAUUUUUCCUUCCCUCACUGCACCCCAGAAAAUACAUGUGGACACACCAUCACCACCGCAACCCAGGAUACCCAGGAAUGUGUAAAAGUUGUGACACACUCAAGUGUCACUGGAAGGUAACCUUCCCGGGCAGAGAUGUUUGUCUCGUGUUCAGUUGCUCCAUCACAGCAUCUAGAAUGGUGCCCAGCGCAUAUUAAGUACCCAGUCGAAAUCUGUAAAAUGAGCAAGUACCCUGCCCUCAAAUGCUUUUGUCUGUUUGUUCAUCCAUCAAAGAACCAGUGCUUUUGGAGAGUGACAUGCUGGCAAAGGCUCUGGGCUGCGUGUAGGGGAUGUCAACGUGCUUAAGGCACAGGUCUGCCCAUGAACAAUUCGGAAUGAAUCGCUUACUCCAGAAAUAUUGCUACCAACCCUCAGAAUAUAUUUUGUCAUCUCUAUAAGCCCACCUGGAACUUCUCUUAAUGAAGAUGAGGGACAGUGCAGGUAGGAGGGGUGGUGUUUUGUUUAGUUUAGUUUUGUUUUAAUCAAGAAGGAAUGGGAGUUCCUGUCGUGGCGCAGUGGUUAACGAAUCCGACUAGGAACCAUGAGGUCGCAGGUUCGGUCCCUGCCCUUGCUCGGUGGGUUAACGAUCCAGCGUUGCUAUGGCUCUGGCGUAGGCCGGUGGCUACAGCUCCGAUUAGACCCCUAGCCUGGGAACCUCCAUAUGCCAAGGGAGCAGCCCUAGAAAAGUCAAAAAGACAAAAAAAAAAAAAAAGAAGGAAUGAAGGAAUGUCUUCCCUCCAUUGAUCUCAGUUUCAGGCCAGACAGGAAGGAAGUAGCAAUAAUGCAGGAUGGUGGAUGAGAUAGUCAGGAAUGUACCCAUGUGUUUGGUCUAUGCUAGUGCCUUGACUCAAUGGUUGCGAACCAACUUUGACUAUGAGUAAGGCAAUAUCAGGGGCAGGGGGUGACCAGUAAUCAGACCUUUUCACACUCGCCAGUGGCUUUUCUGCCUGCUGUAUGAUCUGGCCUCUAUAUGGUCCUCACCCCUGUAUGAUUUGGCCUUGCCUGCAUCUCUGACCACCCUCAGACCUCCUCCUCACCAACUCUAUGCCCUCCAACAUUAAGCUUGUCCCACCUGUGGUCCAUUCUUCAAUCAGUCCCUCUUCUAGAAUGUUCUCUCCACUGAUGUUGUUUUUAUUGGUUCCUUUUGUAUCAUUGAAAAUCAACUUAAAUGAGUUCCCUUGGCCACCCAAACAAAGGUAGUCCUUUCACCAUUUCUUUCCGUGUGUGGCAAUUUGGGAUGUUUUCAUAUCUGGCAUUUUUCUUGUGUUUAUCGUUCAUCCUCCAUCUUCUUCCCUUCUCCCUUAUUUCCUUCCUUCUCUCUCUCUCUUUUUGUCUACCUUCUCCACUAGAUUCUUAGCUCCAUGAAAACAAAAGCUUUUUGGAUCCAAUUCACUGGAGUCCAAGACAAUGCUUCACAUGCAACAGAUACACAAUACACAUUUGCUUAAAGGAAACAUUUAUCUAGAUCUUUGAAAGCUGAGGCUGACAUCACUCCCUUCCAGGAUAGACUAUUACAUGCCAUGUGUUGAGCAAUUUUGGCAGAAUUUUCACAGUCUCAUGGAAACCACAUGUAAGGUAAAAUCUAAGCUUCCUGAGAAAAGUAUGUAUUGAUAUUAUGAUCUGGGCCAUCACUGGCUAACGGAAUGUGAAAAUAAGUGGCCCAUAUAAGGUAAUGGCUAAAAUUCAAGGUGACUAAGAAAUAAGUCAGCAUUACAUUAUUCGGAGCAUUGAAUAUAUCCUUUGUUAAUGUGAAAAUUUUUAAAGUUUGAUGUCCUUCAGACACAGCUCAGGGAACAAUCAUCAAAUAAACAUGCUCCCCUUUCUAAAUGUUCUCCCACACUCUGCUGCACUUAACCCUCAUAGCAGUCCUCGAGAAGGGCCUAUUCCUCAUCACCAUUUUGCAGAUGAAAAAACUAAGCUUAGUGAAAUCAAGCAAUUUGCUCAAAGAUACAGAGCCAAGCCUACCUUCAGAGCAAUUAGGAAUUGUUACCAGGGUUAGAAAUGAGCAACAAGGAGUUCCCAUUGUGGCUCAGUGGGUUAAGAACCCAACGUGGUGAUCAUGAGGAUAUGGGUCUGCAGCUUUGAUUUGACCCCAAGCCCAGGAACUUCCAUAUGCCACAGGUAAGGUUGUAAAAGAAAAAAAGAUAGAAAGAAAUAAAUGAGCAAGAAUAAUAAAGCAUGUGGGUUAAGAGGAAUCCUUGAGACAUUUUUUUUAAUUGCUUUUUUUUUUUUUUGGUUUACAGCACAACUCCAGAAAAAAAUUCUAAGCCACUCCAAGGUCAGAAGACGAUGACUCUGUUCCCAGCUCUGCAGCCAACCAGCUGUGCAGCUAUGACAGUGAAUGAGUCUUUCGAGAUUAUAGAUGAGAAAGACCACAGACGGUAUGAAAGAGUCUAUUUGGCUCAAGAUAUUUUUCAGCAAAAUGCUCAGACUCUAAAAGCUCCUGGUGCAUUCCUGGUUGCUUUUAAAACAUCAGCCUAAUCAAACCAACAGCAGCUAAGUGAGAGAGAAAAAGAGUCUGAGAUACUUACAAGAUGAUUUGGCAAUAAAUAACAGAAAAGACCUAGAAGAAUAUUAUUCUGCUGUUAAAGUUAUUCUGAGGCCAUUUUGCACAGAAUUUUUUAAACAUUAGGUAAUUUUUUAAACAUUCACAUAUAGUUAUAAAAGCAUUGGGUAGAAAGAAUUCACAUUCUAAUUGUUUCCAAAGUGUCAUGUUCAACAUUGGGUAGGACACACAAAAGAUGCCAAGAGAGCAUUUGCCUUGCCAGUGAGAUUAGUAGAACCAACACAGGAAACCAUCCAUCCAAAGAGUCAUCCCAAUCAUCACAAUAAUGAAUUAAUAACUUGAAAGUUUAUAUUUUCUGAAAGCUUCUGCUUAAGUCAGAGAGUCAUCAGAGCUUUAUUUCCAGAACAAUGGAACAGGGAACUUUGUUUUCCUUCUGGCCAGGCUAAAUGGGGCGGUUCUCAGGAUCUUAGAUUCACAGAUUAUUUUUAUGAGGGCUUAAGAAAGAGAAACAAGGAGUUCCCAUUGUGGCACAGUGGUUAACGAAUCUGACUAGGAACCAUGAGGUAGCGGGUUCAAUCCCUGCCCUUGCUCAGUGGGUUGACAAUCUGGUAUUGCCGUGAGCUGUGGUGUAGGCUGCAGACGUGGCUCGGAUCCCGCGUUGCUCUGGCGUAGGCCAGCAGCUAUAGCUCCGAUUAGACCCC
rnacentral:lncRNA from 1 species